rnacentral:lncRNA from 1 species
CUGGGGGCCGCCGGGAAGCCCGUCCCGCGCCUGCGGCUGUGGCGAGGCCGGCGAGGCGCCUGGCAUUUGAAAUGGCCCAGCUCUGAGCCUGAAGAGUCUGCUGCUGUGACUUCAUCCUUCUGCUGGGAGAUGCUGUAACAAGGUGGCCUUAAGGGAUAAACUUACAUCUCUGCCAAAUAACCCAGUUCCUCUUCGUUCCUGCCUUCUAUCAAGUUAUCUUUGAAGCAUCAGUGCC